GAUGAAGAACGCAGCGAAAUGCGAUAAGUAAUGUGAAUUGCAGAAUUCAGUGAAUCAUCGAAUCUUUGAACGCACCUUGCGCUCCUUGGUAUUCCGAGGAGCAUGCCUGUUUGAGUGUCAUUAAUAUAUCAACCUUCUCUUUUUUGAGUUGUUUGGAUGUGGGGGUUUGCUGGCCUCUUAAAUGAUUCAGCUCCCCUGAAAUGCAUUAGCAGAACAACCUGUUCAUUAGCGUGAUAAUUAUCUAUGCUAUUGAAUGUGAGGGCAGUUCAGCUUUCUAACCGUCCUUGGACAAUUCAUCAUUAAUGUGACCUCAAAUCAGGUAGGACUACCCGCUGAACUUAAGCAUAUCAUAAGCGGAGGA
rnacentral:misc_RNA from 1 species